rnacentral:tRNA from 1 species
UCCCUGGUGGCUCAGUCGGUAAAGAAUCUGUCUGCAAUGCAGGAGACCCGGGUUUGAUCCCUGGGUGGGGAA